rnacentral:rRNA from 1 species
CCUACGGGAUGCACCAGUGGGGAAUAUUGCACAAUGGGCGCAAGCCUGAUGCAGCCAUGCCGCGUGUAUGAAGAAGGCCUUCGGGUUGUAAAGUACUUUCAGCGGGGAGGAAGGUGUUGUGGUUAAUAACCGCAGCAAUUGACGUUACCCGCAGAAGAAGCACCGGCUAACUCCGUGCCAGCAGCCGCGGUAAUACGGAGGGUGCAAGCGUUAAUCGGAAUUACUGGGCGUAAAGCGCACGCAGGCGGUUUGUUAAGUCGGAUGUGAAAUCCCCGGGCUCAACCUGGGAACUGCAUUCGAAACUGGCAAGCUUGAGUCUUGUAGAGGGGGGUAGAAUUCCAGGUGUAGCGGUGAAAUGCGUAGAGAUCUGGAGGAAUACCGGUGG